rnacentral:rRNA from 1 species
CGCAUCUGUGCAUGCAGCAUAUCAAUAAGCGGAGGAAAAGAAACUAACAAGGAUUCCCCUAGUAACGGCGAGUGAAGCGGGAAGGAGCUCAAAUUUGAAAUCUUAAAGGGCUUUCCCUUUACGAAUUGUAGUUUAAAGAAGUGUUUUCUGUUGAGGUUUUGGUAAAAGUUCUUUGGAAUAGGACAUCAUAGAGGGUGAGAAUCCCGUAUUUGACCUUUACUUUCAACUUUGUGAUACACUUUCAAAGAGUCGGAUUGUUUGGGAAUGCAGUCCAAAAUGGGUGGUAAAUUUCAUCUAAAGCUAAAUAUUGGCGAGAGACCGAUAGCGAACAAGUACCGUGAGGGAAAGAUGAAGAGAACUUUGAAAAGAGAGUUAAACAGUACGUGAAAUUGUCAAAAGGGAAGCGUUUGACACCAGUGUUGUUUUUCUGAAAAUCAAUUAAAGAACUGUUUAUGCUAAGUUGUUUAGACUUUAUCAGCUAUCUGCUUAGUUUUGAGCUUUUCUUUAAUGCACUUUUCAGUUAACAAGUCAACAUCAAUUUCUUUUGCUGUAAAAAAGCUUGAGGAAGGUGGCUUGAGAUUCGUCUUAAGUGUUUAUAGCCUCUUGCCUAUGCAGUCGGAGAGAUUGAGGUCUGCAGCGUAGAUCCUUCGGGGCUAAAUGCAUUUGUGCUAAGUUAUAGCAUUUUAUAGACAACUUGUUGACUAUGAUUUGUCUUGUAGCUUACUCGCUUAUGUUAUUUUACCUACGCUUAGGAUGUUGAAGAUGUAGCACAUCAU